rnacentral:rRNA from 1 species
UACAACGCUGGCGGCGUGCCUCAGACAUGCAAGUCGAACGAUUUAAGACUUCCUUCGGGAAGUGCAUAAAGUGGCGCACGGGUGAGUAACACGUAAGUAAUCUACCCUCGAGUGGGAAUAACGUUCGGAAACGGACGCUAAUACCGCAUUAACGCAGCGGCACCGCAAGGUGACAGUUGUUAAAGGAGCAAAUCCGCUUGAGGAGGAGCUUUGCGGCAGAUUAGCUAGUUGGUAGGGUAAUGGCUUACCAAGGCUACGAUCUGUAUCCGGUCUAAGAGGACGGUCGGACACACUGACACUGAAUAACGGGUCAGACUCCUACGGGAGGCAGCAGUCGGGAAUUUUGGGCAAUGGGCGAAAGCCUGACCCAGCAACGCCGCGUGAAGGAUGAAGUAUUUCGGUAUGUAAACUUCGAAAGAAUAGGAAGAAUAAAUGACGGUACUAUUUAUAAGCACCGGCUAACUACGUG